GUGACGAAGCGACGCCGCGUGUGGGAAGAAGGCCUUCGGGUUGUAAACCACUGUCGGGAGUUAAGAAAUGUAAGGAUAUAAAUAGUGUCCUUGCUUGACUAAGGCCCCGGAGGAAGCCACGGCUAACUCUGUGCCAGCAGCCGCGGUAAUACAGAGGCGGCAAGCGUUGUUCGGAAUUAUUGGGCGUAAAGAGCACGUAGGCGGCUAUAUAAGUCGGUUGUGAAAGCCUUCCGCUCAACGGGAGAACAGCAUCCGAUACUGUGUGGCUUGAGUGUGGGAGGGGAGAGCGGAACUUCUGGUGGAGCGGUGAAAUGCGUAGAUAUCAGAAGGAACGCCGGCGGCGAAAGCGGCUCUCUGGCCCAUAACUGACGCUGAGUGUGCGAAAGCUAGGGGAGCAAACGGGAUUAGAUACCCCGGUAGUCCUAGCCGUAAACGAU
rnacentral:rRNA from 1 species